rnacentral:rRNA from 1 species
AUUGAACGCUGGCGGCAUGCCUUACACAUGCAAGUCGAACGGCAGCACGGGUGCUUGCACCUGGUGGCGAGUGGCGAACGGGUGAGUAAUACAUCGGAACGUACCUUAUCGUGGGGGAUAACGCAGCGAAAGCUGUGCUAAUACCGCAUACGCCCUGAGGGGGAAAGCGGGGGAUCGCAAGACCUCGCGCGAUUAGAGCGGCCGAUGCCUGAUUAGCUUGUUGGUGGGGUAAAAGCCCACCAAGGCGGCGAUCAGUAGCUGGUCUGAGAGGACGAUCAGCCACACUGGAGCUGAGACACGGCCCAGACUCCUACGGGAGGCAGCAGUGGGGAAUUGUGGACAAUGGGGGCAACCCUGAUCCAGCAAUGCCGCGUGAGUGAAGAAGGCCUUCGGGUUGUAAAGCUCUUUUGUCAGGGAAGAAACACCGGCUCUAACACAGUCCGGGAAUGACGGUACCUGAAGAAUAAGCACCGGCUAACUACGUGCCAGCCGCCGCAGUAA